rnacentral:rRNA from 1 species
CUACGGGCGGCACCAGUGAGGAAUAUUGCACAAUGGGGGGAACCCUGAUGCAGCAACGCCGCGUGGAGGAUGACGCAUUUCGGUGUGUAAACUCCUUUUAUAUGUCAAGAAAAUGACGGUAGCAUAUGAAUAAGCACCGGCUAACUCCGUGCCAGCAGCCGCGGUAAUAGCGGAGGGUGCAAGCGUUACUCGGAAUCACUGGGCGUAAAGGACGCGUAGGCGGGUUGGAAAGUCAGGUGUGAAAUCCUACAGCUUAACUGUAGAACUGCACUUGAAACUUCUAAUCUAGAGUAUGGGAGGGGGAGAUGGAAUUAGUGGUGUAGGGGUAAAAUCCGUAGAUAUCACUAGGAAUACCUAAAGCGAAGGCGAUCUCCUGGAACAUUACUGACGCUAAGGCGUGAAAGCGUGGGGAGCAAACAGGAUUAGAUACCCUCGUAGUC